GAUUCCAAAUAUUAACCGCCUUGUUUGCUUGAAAAACCUUAUGAGGUUGACGUUUACGUCAUUGAAAUUUGAGUUGAAGGCAAUUAAUAUUUUUAGCAAGUUGCCUAAACUUGAGGUGCUAAGGUUAAGCAAUUGUGUGUGCAUUGGUAAAGAGUGGGAACUAUUGGAGAUGGAGAAUUUUGACCAGCUAAUUUAUUUAGAAAUUUGGUUCUCUCAUUGCCUAGAGCAAUGGGAAGCAAGUGCUUGUCAUUUUCCAAAUCUUGAGCGCCUAGUCCUUAAAAGCUGUACGAAACUGGAAAAGAUUCCAGUUGAGUUUGCAGAAAUUCCAAAUUUGAAGUCAAUUGAAUUGGAUUACUGUCUUCCUUCUGCGGUGGAUUCUGCCAAGAAAAUUCAAAAAGAGCAACAUGAGCAAGGAAAUGAAAAUAUGGUUGUCAUUGAGGAACACACACUACAGUGAUUCAUGGCAGCCUAGCUCUCGCAAUGAUAAACAUAUUAGAGUUGAUCCAUAUUUCAAAAAGAUCAGAGAAUUAGAUAUGUUCCUCAUGGAAAUGAUGUGAAGAGGAGUUAAUCACAAGCUAAGGUAUAACAAUGUACAUGAAAGCAAGGUGACAUACAGCUCCCACAGUACACUCUUAGCUCCAAUUCAAUGGCUCCGAUAUCUUGGACACCGCCACCCUAGCUUGUAAAAUCCAACGCUUUUCAUCGUUAAUGAUUCGGCUGGUUUCGACCAGGUAGUAAGUUCUCCUUCAUAAAUCUGGGCACUUUAAUUUGUUGUAGCUUGUUAUGGGAAGUUUGCUUAGAACUGUGAUCCGGGUUUAGCCAAAACUAUAUAUUGCUUGUUGCGAGGCUUUAUCAUGGCUUAAAUGGAGAUGUAUUAAUAACGUCAUCCUAGAGUUGAGACAGACAAUUUUAAAUUUUGUUAAUGUUUCUCAUGAUUAUU